rnacentral:rRNA from 1 species
CCUACGUGUGGCAGCAGUGGGGAAUAUUGGGCAAUGGGCGAAAGCCUGACCCAGCAACGCCGCGUGAAGGAAGAAGGCUUUCGGGUUGUAAACUUCUUUUGACAGGGAAGAGCAGAAGACGGUACCUGUCGAAUAAGCCACGGCUAACUACGUGCCAGCAGCCGCGGUAAUACGUAGGGGGCAAGCGUUAUCCGGAAUUACUGGGUGUAAAGGGAGCGUAGACGGUGAUGCAAGUCUGGAGUGAAAGGCGGGGGCCCAACCCCCGGACUGCUCUGGAAACUGUGUAACUUGAGUGCAGGAGAGGUAAGCGGAAUUCCUAGUGUAGCGGUGAAAUGCGUAGAUAUUAGGAGGAACACCAGUGGCGAAGGCGGCUUACUGGACUGUAACUGACGUUGAGGCUCGAAAGCGUGGGGAGCAAACAGGAUUAGAUACCCGAGUAGUC